rnacentral:rRNA from 1 species
GAUGAACGCUGGCGGCGUGCCUAAUACAUGCAAGUCGAGCGAACAGACGAGGAGCUUGCUCCUCUGACGUUAGCGGCGGACGGGUGAGUAACACGUGGAUAACCUACCUAUAAGACUGGGAUAACUUCGGGAAACCGGAGCUAAUACCGGAUAAUAUAUUGAACCGCAUGGUUCAAUAGUGAAAGACGGUUUUGCUGUCACUUAUAGAUGGAUCCGCGCCGCAUUAGCUAGUUGGUAAGGUAACGGCUUACCAAGGCAACGAUGCGUAGCCGACCUGAGAGGGUGAUCGGCCACACUGGAACUGAGACACGGUCCAGACUCCUACGGGAGGCAGCAGUAGGGAAUCUUGCGCAAUGGGCGAAAGCGUGACGGAGCAACGCCGCGUGUGUGAUGAAGGUCUUCGGGUCGUAAAACUCUGUUAUUAGGAAAGAACAAAUGUGUAAGUAACUCUGCACGUCUUGACGGUACCUAAUCAGAAAGCCCCGGCUAACUACGUG